GGAGGUGAAGGCAACCUGGCUUCGACAUCUGUCACACCAUUGAUCACCAGGGCUGAUAAGGCUGAUCUGACUGGCUAGGCGGGUGUCUCCUUCCUCCCUCACUAUUCUACGUCCUUCCCGAAGCUUUGUGCUUGGUUGAAGAGGACAACCUUCUCCAAAUAGAGGGGGACCAAGCUUUGGUCAAGAGUAUAAGAGUAGCUGUGCUCUCCUGCUAGAAUCUCCAAACAAGCUCUCAAGACUAGAGCUGUAAACCAGCCUUUACUUUAGAGCCAUGUGUUACAUAAAUAGCAAAAGUGCUAAUAUAU
ensembl:misc_RNA 7SK 7SK RNA